rnacentral:tRNA from 1 species
AAGGGUAUGGCUCAGUGUUAGAGCACAUGCUUCGCAUGCACAAGGUCCUGGGUUCAAUCCCCAAUACCUCCA